GACGUAGGGCGCGAGCGUUGUCCGGAUUUAUUGGGCGUAAAGAGCUCGUAGGCGGCUCGUUGCGUCGGCUGUGAAAACCGGCAGCUCAACUGUGGGCUUGCAGCCGAUACGGGCGGGCUUGAGUUCGGUAGGGGAGACUGGAAUUCCUGGUGUAGCGGUGAAAUGCGCAGAUAUCAGGAGGAACACCGGUGGCGAAGGCGGGUCUCUGGGCCGAUACUGACGCUGAGGAGCGAAAGCGUGGGGAGCGAACAGG
rnacentral:rRNA from 1 species